CACCCCAGCAAUGGUCAAAGAGACACCUUGUUGGUGCUGGUGUUCUUAUAGCAGUCAGGGGCAGAGCAGAUGACAGUCCUCUGUUCAUCCUGGCUUAUUAAUGCCUGGCUUGGUGGCCAAAGCUGCUUUAUGCCUAGGACACAUAA